rnacentral:tRNA from 1 species
AUUAUCUUGGCAGAAUAGUGUAAUGAAUUUAGAAUUCAUAAAUGUAAUAAAAAUUUACAGAUAAUA